rnacentral:tRNA from 1 species
AGUUUUAAUAGUUUAAUAAAAACAUUGGUCUUGUAAAUCAAAAUAAGAUAUAUUCUUUUAAAACUUC